ensembl:processed_transcript BC037032 cDNA Sequence BC037032
CUUGAGCCAGCAGCGGUUAACCCGGCCCGGGGUUCUGGGCCUCAGCCGGCGCCAGCAGCUCCCUCAGGUGGGGCGCAAGCCUCAGCGCGCCGCCCUUCUCCGCUCCGCUCCUCCAACCCGCCCUUACGUAGGGCGACGGCCCCGGGGACCCUCUUCCCAAGGGCGUCGGCCUGGAGCCUGUAGUCUGUAGGAGUGGCGGGAGAUGGGGACGCGAGUCCCUGGACGCCGACAGUCUGUCUCUACGGCGUUGCUGCGUGGCUUUGGUACACAGAGCCUCGACCGCUUCUCCACCGCUGCAAGCACAGCGGGGAAGUGGAUGGAGAAGCAAAGACAGACAGACAGACAGACAGACAGACAAGCGGCGGCGGGGCUACCCUGAAACCCGAGCGUCUCCAAGCCCCCACCCCCAACCCCCGGGCACGGCUCUGCAGAUGCCAGAUCCCCGACCAGAGGCGGUGGAGAUGGGCAGGGCAAAGAACGCGCGCGCCGCUCGCAGCUCGUCCGCGCGUGGCCUUCCUCUUGCCCCCCUGCACCUUCAAUUUACCUUAUGCAGGGCGCCCCGCGAGCUGCGGGCUGAGGCGCCGAGCCGAAGCCCAGAGGACAGGAGUUUGAGAGCCGCCAUCUUCGGCCCCGGGUGCGGGAGAAGGUGGCGCGCGCGGGAGUGCGUGCGAGUGCUGGUUGCCCGGGGCCGCGGCGGCGUCACGGGCUAAGAAGAGAGAAGGCAAGGCGAGCGGUAGGGCGGGCUGGAGGCUCGACCGCGCGUCAGUGACGUCCUCGGGACCUCAGAGCGGUGCCGCCCCUUGCUGCCUGCUGGCUUGUCAAGAAGCGAGACAGGGAGGGGCUCACGGCUAGGAAUGGAAAGGCUGCACAGCUAGGACGAGCCCCGCGGGUUGUGCCGGGGCCGGAGGUGCUGGGCUCCAGCUCAUCUGCGGGCACACCCGCAGCGGCGGGCGCUGCACUCAGGCUGGAGGGGGCGCUAGAGCCUGCCUUCCCCUGGCGCAAGGCUUGGCAUCAACCAGGGUUUCGGGUUGCCAAGGGCCUGGAGGGUCUCUUACUGAACGUGUUACUUUUCCAAGUCGCCCUCUUGAAUGAGUACAGGUACAAAGGGUCACUGAUAAAGAUCUCCUUCCAGAUCUAGACAGCUCACCUUUCCAACAUUUCUCAACCCCAACACCCACAACUCUCUUCAAGUCUGGUUUUGCCCUUAGUUUCCUCUGAAACCCAGCAGCGUGCUGACUGACCCUCAUGAGACAUGACCUGCUUAACCGACAGAGGGACAAGAUUAGAACUGGGCUGUUGUUCCCCAUCAUCCUACUCUGUGUUCCAGAAUUUUCCUGGAACCGGAGUCCCAACAAUUCCAGAAAUUACAGAGCAGGAGAAAAUGAAAAUAUAUGAGUUACACAGUCAAAAAAUGAAAAUGAGAGUCAUGUUACGGUGCUAAGAAAACUUCAGGAGAAAAACACAGCCAUCUAAGUGUGCUCAGCUUCAGCAUAGGACACCUGCUUUGGAUUCUCAGCCUCUCCAAUGUCAGGGAGAGACUGCCAUAAUUGACUUUGUUCCCCCUGAAACUGUGAGCCCAAAAAUGAGUCCUUUCUUCUAUAAACUGGUUUUGAUCAUUGUGUUUUAUCACAGCAACCGUUAAAUACAGAAGUUGGUGCUAGAGUGGGCUGAAGCUGUGUAGCACUUGACUGUGUUGCUUUGAAGAGGAAGGUGGAAGACUGUGGAGAUCUGGCCUGGAGCAGCAUCUGAAUACUUUCGGCAGAACUUAAAAGGCAACCCUAAAGGAAGCCUGAAAGAUAACCACACUGAGAGCAAUGAGGACUGUGGAGACCCAGAGCAGAAGGUUUCAGAGAGGAACACUAUCAGCCAUUGGGCUCCAAGCUCUUGUGAUAUUUGGGCAAAGAAUCUAAUGGCCCUGGGCUUUGAUCCUAAGAACUUACCUAAGGGGAAAUUUUUAAAGUAACAGAAUAAUUUCUAUAGUGGAAUAAAAUUUCAAGACCACAUAACAUUGAGUCUGUGGCAUGGUUUUUAUUGAUAAUGCUUCGGAUCUAUGAUGGAAAAGAGACAGAAAUUAAAAAUGGACAUUUUGGUGAGAUAAGGAGCAUUGGGAAUCUUACUGCCCACAUUGAAAUAGAGGCUAUAAUUGCUCAGGAGUCAAGCACCAUUAAGGAGAGACCUGCUCUACACUGGAAUGUGGUUAACACUCCGCCCAGCUAAGCCUCUACAUUCUGAAAGGAAAAAGACUAAGAGGUGACUAGCCAAACUUAGCAGGUAUCUCAAUAUGAUGUUAUCUUGGAUGCAUGAAGGAGACCACGCCGGUUCAUAGACUCCUCUUCCUGGGCCUCAGGGAGCUGCUAGGGCCAAGAAACGUGUGAAAGAGGGGUCACUACAUGAAGGCUUUGAGAAGGCAAGAGGCUCUAAGAAAGCAUUGCAGGAAACUGUGAAAGUAAAGCUCUUGCAGUAAAGAUCCCAAAUUUUUGGUGAUUCAGCAGCCACGGCUUACCUGCUGUGACAAGUUAUGCUUUGAUUACUGUGCCUAGGAUCUUUUUGAUCCAUGAAACAAAAAGAAAUUCUCCCUUCCCUAGGGACAAGAUACUUCAAAAAUGCUGGAGGCUGUUGUUUAAGGAAGAUAACAAGCCACAUGUUUUCGCACUCAUAAACAAGUUUGUUUGCCCCAACUGCAUUGGCUGUCUCUAUCACCAGUAGGCAGAGGUAAGGAAACAGGAAACAUGUCAAGAUAUAUGCUUGUCCUUCAUUGUAUGUUUGUCCUUCAUUGGAUAUUGAUUGGCCUUGUGGGGUUGCCUUUUUAAGCCUCUGCAAGAUGUGAUUCAUCACCAAUUGCUGGGAACCUGGGAAUGAACCGGGUCAGAGUCCAUCCUCCUGGCCAGCAUCUAAUUAACGAUUGCUUCAUAUUUGACUCAAAGAUUCUGGUAGUGGUCUUAUUCCCAACUGGUGAGAUUAACACUGCCAAAGAGAACUGCAAACAGGGGCAGAACCAGCCCAGGAGAGAUAUGUACGUCGCAGGCAGCAAAGGUGGGGGAGUAGAGGUAUCUAAGCCCCUCGACAUCAGAUGUGAAACUACAGAUUUGGUCUUGGCCCUGUUGAGUUCUGAUCUUACUUUGGCAUAGCAUUCCCAUUUAGAAGGUUUGUGGGUAUUCUAUUCUGGGGUAUUACACAUUGAACACAUGUGAAUUGUGUUUUGAUCUUACAGUGGUUACAAUUAAGAGAGUUCCUUGAGCCUCAGAA